UCAAAUGCUGGGCUUCCCUGGUGGCGCAGUGGUUGAGAGUCCGCCUGCCGAUGCAGGAGACGCGGGUUCGUGCCCCGGUCCGGGAGGAUCCCACAUGCCGCGGAGCGGCUGGGCCCAGCGGCUGGGCCCGUGAGCCAUGGCCGCUGAGCCUGCGCGUCUGGAGCCUGUGCUCCGCAACGGGAGAGGCCACAACAGUGAGAGGCCCACGUAUCGCAAAAAAAAAAAAAAAAAAAAAAAAAAAGAGUUAA